GGGGAUUUAGCUCAGCGGCAUAAGCGCCUGCCUUGCAAGCAGGCAGUCAUCAGUUCGAUCCCCG
rnacentral:tRNA from 1 species